CAAAUUCUGCUCCCCAUGACAUCUGCUGUCCCUUCUUGGACAUUCUAUUGUCUCCUAGAGAGUUCUGGCAUCCUCUGUGAUGUCACCAGUGUUGUAGUGACAACCAGUGCCCUAGUUUCUCUCAGUCUGAGUCUGGCAGUUACAAGCUAAGACAUGUUUUCCCUUCUUCGCAAGCGUUUUGGGAGGGGGAACGUCGAUUGUGGACAGACUAGCAUGAAGGAAUCUUGCCUUUGUUCUCAAAGUAAUGAUUGACAGAGACAGCAAUUCUGGGGAAUGUUUAACGCUGGGAGAGAAACAUCUUCCCCUGAAACUGCCCUAAGCGAGAAGCAGGCCAAGAAGUAAAAGGAGAAGCUGAUUAAAGAGCUGCAGCUCAUUACCGAGGAGAGAAAUGACCUGAGAGAUCGCCUGAGGUUUCUGACAGAGAGAUCUAUGAAAAACAGGCCACACUUCAGGCCAAAUCCAUAUUAUGAAGACCUGGAGAGAAUGGAGGAGGAGGUCAUGUCAAGUCUGCACAACUUAGAGAUGGAGAACACUGAGAUCCAUGAGAACAGCAAUAAGCUGAAGAAGGAGAUGACCUUCUCUAGGUAAGUCCUGGUCAGAAAG